GGAAUUCUUUCGUAUGAUUGACUUUCGGAAAAUCGACGCUCUACUCUUACUGCCGUCCUUACAAAAACAGGGAACUUAGAAAUAAUAUCUGCUCCGGAAGAUAGUUCUCAACAAAAUACUUCUCAAGAUGAAAAUACAGAAGCUUCUGAUUUAUCAAUUAGGAGAAGACAAAGGAGGCAAUUUCAUAGAACACAGAAUAUAGAUGAUUAACUUUUAUUAAUAAUAAAGUUAUUGUAAUUUAAAAGUAUUUAUUACCUAUUUAGAAUAAAACCAA